UGAGCUUGAUCAUGGCUCAGAUUGAACGCUGGCGGCAGGCCUAACACAUGCAAGUCGAGCGGUAGAGAGAAGCUUGCUUCUCUUGAGAGCGGCGGACGGGUGAGUAAUGCCUAGGAAUCUGCCUGGUAGUGGGGGAUAACGUUCGGAAACGGACGCUAAUACCGCAUACGUCCUACGGGAGAAAGCAGGGGACCUUCGGGCCUUGCGCUAUCAGAUGAGCCUAGGUCGGAUUAGCUAGUUGGUGGGGUAAUGGCUCACCAAGGCGACGAUCCGUAACUGGUCUGAGAGGAUGAUCAGUCACACUGGAACUGAGACACGGUCCAGACUCCUACGGGAGGCAGCAGUGGGGAAUAUUGGACAAUGGGCGAAAGCCUGAUCCAGCCAUGCCGCGUGUGUGAAGAAGGUCUUCGGAUUGUAAAGCACUUUAAGUUGGGAGGAAGGGCAGUUACCUAAUACGUGAUUGUUUUGACGUACCGACAG
rnacentral:rRNA from 1 species